GUGUCGUUAGCUCAGUCGGUAGAGCAGUUGGCUUUUAACCAAUUGGUCGUAGGUUCGAAUCCUACACGACCCACCA
rnacentral:tRNA from 1 species